rfam:Gossypium arboreum cultivar AKA8401 contig_175024_1, whole genome shotgun sequence.
AACCUAUGGUGAGGGCACCUUCACAAUAGAUCCUUGUAUCUCUCCUAUGCAUCGUAAAGUAUUUCUAAGUCCAUCUGCACAAAAGAAGAAAUAUCAUUAAGUAACUU